GAUGAAGAACGUAGCGAAAUGCGAUAAGUAAUGUGAAUUGCAGAAUUCAGUGAAUCAUCGAAUCUUUGAACGCACAUUGCGCCCGCCAGUAUUCUGGCGGGCAUGCCUGUUCGAGCGUCAUUUCAACCAUCAAGCCCCCGGCUUGUGUUGGGGACCUGCGGCUGCCGCAGGCCCUGAAAACCAGUGGCGGGCUCGCUAGUCACUCCGAGCGUAGUAGUUACAUCUCGCUCAGGGCGUGCUGCGGGUUCCGGCCGUUAAAAGCCGUAUUUACCCAAGGUUGACCUCGGAUCAGGUAGGAAGACCCGCUGAACUUAAGCAUAUCAAUAAGCGGAGGA
rnacentral:misc_RNA from 1 species